AGCGGGAUUGAAGCUUGCUUCAAUUGCCGGCGACCGGCGCACGGGUGAGUAACGCGUAUCCAACCUUCCGUUUACUCGGGGAUAGCCUUUCGAAAGAAAGAUUAAUACCUGAUAGUAUGGUAAGAUUGCAUGGUAAUACCAUUAAAGAUUCAUUGGUAAACGAUGGGGAUGCGUUCCAUUAGGUAGUAGGCGGGGUAACGGCCCACCUAGCCGACGAUGGAUAGGGGUUCUGAGAGGAAGGUCCCCCACAUUGGAACUGAGAC
rnacentral:rRNA from 1 species